GGGUUGUGAGGUUAAGCGACUAAGCGUACACGGUGGAUGCCCUGGCAGUCAGAGGCGAUGAAGGACGUGCUAAUCUGCGAUAAGCGUCGGUAAGGUGAUAUGAACCGUUAUAACCGGCGAUUUCCGAAUGGGGAAACCCAGUGUGAUUCGUCACACUAUCAUUAACUGAAUCCAUAGGUUAAUGAGGCGAACCGGGGGAACUGAAACAUCUAAGUACCCCGAGGAAAAGAAAUCAACCGAGAUUCCCCCAGUAGCGGCGAGCGAACGGGGAGCAGCCCAGAGCCUGAAUCAGUGUGUGUGUUAGUGGAAGCGUCUGGAAAGGCGCGCGAUACAGGGUGACAGCCCCGUACACAAAAAUGCACAUGCUGUGAGCUCGAUGAGUAGGGCGGGACACGUGGUAUCCUGUCUGAAUAUGGGGGGACCAUCCUCCAAGGCUAAAUACUCCUGACUGACCGAUAGUGAACCAGUACCGUGAGGGAAAGGCGAAAAGAACCCCGGCGAGGGGAGUGAAAAAGAACCUGAAACCGUGUACGUACAAGCAGUGGGAGCACAGAGCAAUCUGUGUGACUGCGUACCUUUUGUAUAAUGGGUCAGCGACUUAUAUUCUGUAGCAAGGUUAACCGAAUAGGGGAGCCGAAGGGAAACCGAGUCUUAACUGGGCGUUAAGUUGCAGGGUAUAGACCCGAAACCCGGUGAUCUAGCCAUGGGCAGGUUGAAGGUUGGGUAACACUAACUGGAGGACCGAACCGACUAAUGUUGAAAAAUUAGCGGAUGACUUGUGGCUGGGGGUGAAAGGCCAAUCAAACCGGGAGAUAGCUGGUUCUCCCCGAAAGCUAUUUAGGUAGCGCCUCGUGAAUUCAUCUCCGGGGGUAGAGCACUGUUUCGGCAAGGGGGUCAUCCCGACUUACCAACCCGAUGCAAACUGCGAAUACCGGAGAAUGUUAUCACGGGAGACACACGGCGGGUGCUAACGUCCGUCGUGAAGAGGGAAACAACCCAGACCGCCAGCUAAGGUCCCAAAGUCAUGGUUAAGUGGGAAACGAUGUGGGAAGGCCCAGACAGCCAGGAUGUUGGCUUAGAAGCAGCCAUCAUUUAAAGAAAGCGUAAUAGCUCACUGGUCGAGUCGGCCUGCGCGGAAGAUGUAACGGGGCUAAACCAUGCACCGAAGCUGCGGCAGCGACGCUUAUGCGUUGUUGGGUAGGGGAGCGUUCUGUAAGCCUGUGAAGGUGUACUGUGAGGUAUGCUGGAGGUAUCAGAAGUGCGAAUGCUGACAUAAGUAACGAUAAAGCGGGUGAAAAGCCCGCUCGCCGGAAGACCAAGGGUUCCUGUCCAACGUUAAUCGGGGCAGGGUGAGUCGACCCCUAAGGCGAGGCCGAAAGGCGUAGUCGAUGGGAAACAGGUUAAUAUUCCUGUACUUGGUGUUACUGCGAAGGGGGGACGGAGAAGGCUAUGUUGGCCGGGCGGCGGUUGUCCCGGUUUAAGCGUGUAGGCUGGUUUUCCAGGCAAAUCCGGAAAAUCAAGGCUGAGGCGUGAUGACGAGGCACUACGGUGCUGAAGCAACAAAUGCCCUGCUUCCAGGAAAAGCCUCUAAGCAUCAGGUAACAUCAAAUCGUACCCCAAACCGACACAGGUGGUCAGGUAGAGAAUACCAAGGCGCUUGAGAGAACUCGGGUGAAGGAACUAGGCAAAAUGGUGCCGUAACUUCGGGAGAAGGCACGCUGAUAUGUAGGUGAAGUCCCUCGCGGAUGGAGCUGAAAUCAGUCGAAGAUACCAGCUGGCUGCAACUGUUUAUUAAAAACACAGCACUGUGCAAACACGAAAGUGGACGUAUACGGUGUGACGCCUGCCCGGUGCCGGAAGGUUAAUUGAUGGGGUCAGCGCAAGCGAAGCUCUUGAUCGAAGCCCCGGUAAACGGCGGCCGUAACUAUAACGGUCCUAAGGUAGCGAAAUUCCUUGUCGGGUAAGUUCCGACCUGCACGAAUGGCGUAAUGAUGGCCAGGCUGUCUCCACCCGAGACUCAGUGAAAUUGAACUCGCUGUGAAGAUGCAGUGUACCCGCGGCAAGACGGAAAGACCCCGUGAACCUUUACUAUAGCUUGACACUGAACAUUGAGCCUUGAUGUGUAGGAUAGGUGGGAGGCUUGGAAGUGUGGACGCCAGUCUGCAUGGAGCCGACCUUGAAAUACCACCCUUUAAUGUUUGAUGUUCUAACGUUGACCCGUAAUCCGGGUUGCGGACAGUGUCUGGUGGGUAGUUUGACUGGGGCGGUCUCCUCCUAAAGAGUAACGGAGGAGCACGAAGGUUGGCUAAUCCUGGUCGGACAUCAGGAGGUUAGUGCAAUGGCAUAAGCCAGCUUGACUGCGAGCGUGACGGCGCGAGCAGGUGCGAAAGCAGGUCAUAGUGAUCCGGUGGUUCUGAAUGGAAGGGCCAUCGCUCAACGGAUAAAAGGUACUCCGGGGAUAACAGGCUGAUACCGCCCAAGAGUUCAUAUCGACGGCGGUGUUUGGCACCUCGAUGUCGGCUCAUCACAUCCUGGGGCUGAAGUAGGUCCCAAGGGUAUGGCUGUUCGCCAUUUAAAGUGGUACGCGAGCUGGGUUUAGAACGUCGUGAGACAGUUCGGUCCCUAUCUGCCGUGGGCGCUGGAGAACUGAGGGGGGCUGCUCCUAGUACGAGAGGACCGGAGUGGACGCAUCACUGGUGUUCGGGUUGUCAUGCCAAUGGCACUGCCCGGUAGCUAAAUGCGGAAGAGAUAAGUGCUGAAAGCAUCUAAGCACGAAACUUGCCCCGAGAUGAGUUCUCCCUGACUCCUUGAGAGUCCUGAAGGAACGUUGAAGACGACGACGUUGAUAGGCCGGGUGUGUAAGCGCAGCGAUGCGUUGAGCUAACCGGUACUAAUGAACCGUGAGGCUUAACCUUACAACGCCGAAGGUGUUU
rnacentral:rRNA from 1 species